GACAAGAGCAAGAUUCUGUCUCAAAAAUAAAAUUUUAAAAGUUCUGCAAUUCUGCAUAAAGAUAAAUGCUAUUUGUUCCUGGGGGCUGGGGUCACCAGGGAGGCUUCCUGGAGGAGGAGGCAGGGCUGAGGAAUGGAUGGCAGCAGAGAGUAUUUGUGGGUGAGGCUAUGGUGCUGCUGGAGAGGCAGGGUGUGGCAGCUUGGGCUGGGGCCAGCAGUGAGCUUGGAAUUCCCCAGGGCUUUCCAGAAGCCAGAAGGCCGGGGCGGAGUGGGUUGUCCAAGAGCUUGUCUUGUCCUCUUGCCCUGGCCACAGCCGGGAAGCCCUGGGCAGGCGCCCGUGGAUAGCUGGCACGCUCAGCCUUUGGUGGAGAACUGAGAAAGUCUGAAGCAGGAAGGUGGAAAAACAUUUCGUGCUCAGGGAGGAAACGUCUUCACCCCGGUUUACAGAUGCUUAUUUGGAAAAUGAGGAUAACAGUAGGAGAACCUACCACACAGGUUUGUGAUGAGGAUUAAAUGAUUCAUAAAUGUAAGCCUUUAGAAUAGUGCAGUGGUUCUCAGUUGGGCCUGAUUUUAUACCCAGAGGACAGCUGGCAAUGUCUGGAGACAUUUUUGUUGAAAUGACUGGUGGGUAGAAGCCAGGGAGGUUGCUAAGCCUCCUGCAAUGCCCAGGACAUCCCCUGAGAGAACUGCCCAGCCGGUUGAGAAACCCCAGAACAAUGCAUGGCACAAAAUGUGAACUCAAUCAAUAUUCGUUAUUUUUUAAGAGCUGCAGUGAAAAUUAUUUUCCUUAUCAUCGAUGUACAAGUGUGAGAGUGUCUCACAGAAACUAUCACUCCCUUCAAAUACUCAUGGAACAUUUAUCAAAAUUGUUUUAUUCAGCCAUAAAGAACAUCUAAGUAAAUUCUAAAAUGUAGAAAUCAUACAGAAUAUUUUCUCACCAUGAAGCAAUAAUUGAGAAAUUAACUACCAAGGGGAGCUUCUUCCUGCUCCACCCCUACCUCCCUUCACCUAUCCAGAAUUCCAAAGCUAUCUGGAAUGUUUAAAAUGUCAUAAGUAACUGUUUGUUAGAGAAGAAACACAAAGUGAAAUAUUAAUUUAUAAAGUAACAUAAAUAAGAAUGUUAUAUGUUAAGAGCUACUGAGUACAAGGGAAAACUCAGGAAAAUAGUCCUAUGAAAUUUUAUAAAAUAAAGAAAAUUGAAAACAAAUCAGCUAAGCACUUACUUCUAGAAAGAAAAUGAAUAAUAAAAUAAAUACCAAGAGAGUAGGAGGAAAUUAAUAAAAAUAAAAAAGAAAUUAAUGAAAUAGAACAGUAGGCUGGGCGGGUGGCUCACGCUGUAAUCCUAGCACUUUGGGAGGCCAAGGCAGGCAGAUCACCUGAGGUCAGGGGUUCGAGACCAGCCUGGCCAACAUGGCGAAACCCUGUUUCUACUAAAAAUACAAAAUUAGCCAGGCAUGGCAGCGGGCGCCUGUAAUCCCAGCUACUUGGGAAGCUGUUUGGACCCGGGAGGCAGAGUUUGCAGCGAGCUGAGAUUGUGCUACUGCAUUCCAGCUUGGGUGACAGAGUGAGACUCUGUCUCAAAAUAAAAAAUAAAUAAACUUAAAACUUAGCUGGGUGUGGUGGCGCACACCUAUCGUCCCAGUUACUCAGGAGGCUGAGGUAGGAGGGUCACUUGAGCCUGGGAGGUCCAGGCUACAGUGAGCCAUGAUUGCAGCCACUGUACUCCAGCCUGGGUGUGAGACCCUGAAAAAAAAAAACAGAAAGAAAAAAGAAAAGAAAGAAAGAAAUACAAAAGUAGCAUCCAUAAAUGAGUACUUUCUAAAAUGCCAAUAAAAUACACCAGCAAAAUACUUAUGUUAAAGAGAGCUCUGGCUGGGCACGGUGGCAUACACCUGUAAUCCUUGCACUUUGGGAGGCUGAGGAGGGAGGAUUACUUGAGGCCAGGAGUUCAGGACCAACCUGGCCAACAUAGUGAGACCUCGUCUCCACUAAAAAAAAAAAUUUAAGAGAUAAGAAUUGUUUAAAGCUAAUUAAAAGGAUAUAGUAACAUAGACAAAACUCUGACAAGUCUAACUUUAAGGGGGAAAAAUAAGCAACAGAUACAGACAAUGUCAGGAAUGAGGAAAGAGAUAUAACCACAGAUAUACAGGAAAUUAAAAACUGUAAGAAAGAAUUCUGUUUAGUAUGGCAUAUUCUCUACAGCCUCUCAUCCCCAAAACGCCACAAAAACUAUAGUAAAGGAGUGGGGAUGGGCAAAGAAACGCACAAAAGGAAACUAGGGAGAACAGAGAGGGGGAAAGGACAAGAAAGUUUGGAAGAUGAAAAGUAGAUAUUUGAGCCAUAACUGACUUAGAGUUCCGACAAUGUAAACUAAUCCAGAAGAGGGGAAAGCUGAGAAACAGGAUUAAAACCUCAAGACCCAGCCCCUGCCCCACACCUUGGGUCCUACAAUCUGUUGGGAUCGGCAAAGCGGCCGUCCUGGUCACCCCAGCUCUCACUCCACACGCAGGACCCUGGCACGGUGCCAUCUGCCCUCAGCAGCAGCAAAGCCUGGGAGAGUCCCUCACCCUGCUCUACCACCAAAGCACUGGUGGGCUCUGCAGGGGCAGCAUCUGCAAAGCCUCAUGUCUCCCUGCCCCCUACCCAGUGGCGUCUGCCCCUUUUUCCCAUGCAAGUCAUCUAGCAACACCGGGCCAACCCGGGAUGUGCUCCUGCUCCCACCAGCAGGGACUGAAAGGGUGCCCCGGUGGCACCAGAAAAACAAAGCACAGGAGACUAACAUCGCGAGGGCUCAGAAAACUAAACUGCCUUCAGAACUGAAGCCCACAAGUAGACAGAACCUACAUGCUAACCUGGGCAGCUGCCUGCUGAAACAGAAGCCUGAAAUAGGAUUGAGGAUCCCAGAGCCAGCACAGUGGCUCAGGCCUGUACUCCCAGCGCUUUAGGAGGCCAAGGUGGGCAGAUCACGUGA
rnacentral:lncRNA from 1 species